rnacentral:rRNA from 1 species
GACGAACGCUGGCGGCGUGCCUAAUACAUGCAAGUAGAACGCUGAAGAGAGGAGCUUGCUCUUCUUGGAUGAGUUGCGAACGGGUGAGUAACGCGUAGGUAACCUGCCUUGUAGCGGGGGAUAAGUAUUGGAAACGAUAGCUAAUACCGCAUAACAGUGGAUGACACAUGUCAUUUAUUUGAAAGGGGCAAUUGCUCCACUACAAGAUGGACCUGCGUUGUAUUAGCUAGUAGGUGAGGUAAGGGCUCACCUAGGCGACGAUACAUAGCCGACCUGAGAGGGUGAUCGGCCACACUGGGACUGAGACACGGCCCAGACUCCUAAGGGAGGCAGCAGUAGGGAAUCUUCGGAAAUGGGGGGAACCCUGACCGCGCAACGCCGGGGGAGGGAAGAAGGGUUUCGGAUCGGAAAGCUCCGUUGUAAGUCAAGAACGGGUGUGAGGGUGGAAAGUUCACGCUGUGACGGUAGCUUACCAGAAAGGGACGGCUAACUACGUG